rnacentral:rRNA from 1 species
CCUACGGGGGGCAGCAGUAGGGAAUAGUGCUCAAUGGGGGAAACCCUGAAGCAGCAACGCCGCGUGGAGGAUGAAGGUUUUAGGAGUGUAAACUCCUAUUGGUAGAGAAGAGGAUGACGGUAGCUAACGAAUAAGCACCGGCUAACGCCGUGCCAGCAGCCGCGGUAAGACGGAGGGUGCAAGCGUUACUCGGAAUCACUGGGCGUAAAGAGUGCGUAGGCGGGGUCAUAAGUCAGAUGUGAAAUCCUGUCGCUUCACUACAGAACUGCAUUUGAAACUGUUACUCUGUAGUGUGGGAGAGGUAGGUGGAAUUCUUUGUGUCGUGGUUCAAUCCGU